ACCACCGCGGUGGCUGCGGCCGAGCCCCGCGCCUUUAAUAGCGAGCGGGGCCGGGCCCGCCCCGCCCGGCUCCGGCUCCCGGGGCGGCGCCGAGCCCGGGGCUGCGGAGCAGGCCGCGACUGCGGCUCCGUGUCGGGGAUCGGCCCGCAGCCCCCGGGAUCACCGCACACCGACACUCCCGCAGCGCCUCAUACCUCCCGGCACAGGGGACGUGGGGCACAGCUGUCCCCGAGGGCCGGGGGCUGAGGCGCGCCGAGCCCCGUGUCCCCUCACAGGGGUGGUGGCCCCGGCUGGUGCCCCUUGCCGGAGUCUUGUGUUCCCCUUGCCCAAGUCUUGUGUUCCCCUUGCCCGAGUCUUGUGGUGCCCCUUGCCCAAGUCUUGUGUUCCCCUUGCCCGAGUCUUGUGGCAAAACCCACGGCGUGCCUGGUUUCUGAGAGCCAGGCAAAGCUGUUCCAAAGCUUCCACUGCGAGCUGUGGCUUAGGAGUGAUUUAGGGUAGAGCGGAUCUAAGAAAAGCCCGGCUUUAUUUUGAAUUUUGGAAGAGGUUUUUUUGAAAGUCUCGGAAGAGGAGCAGUGAGUUUUUAAUGAGCGGCAUAAUGAUCGCGCUGUCCCUCUGUCUGUGGGGAGGUGCUGAGGACGUCGCAGAAUAAAAUGCACGAUUGUAAUCGCAGGCAGCAGUCUCCCGUCACAAACUGGCUUUGAUGCUUUUGCAGACAAGCAUUCGCUGUUCUGCUGAAGACGUCACAGCGCAAUGGAAAAAGCCAGACUUGCCUGGGAGGCUUGGCUGCUUAUUCACAUGUGAAGAGUUUCUUCAGGUGCGAGCGUUUGCUCUGGGUGCCUCUCCCUGCUAUCUGCAACUUCAUAUUUUUUGCUCCAUUUAGCUAAGGACGGCAAGUUCCCCUGAGUCACAGCCCAGAAGUGGAGCAGUGAGAACUCUGGAAGGAGCACUGAUCCUGGCCCUGGGAAUACCCAGUGGUGGAAAUGGAGCAGCCAGUGCAUGUCCAGGGGGGUACACCCAGUGUGCAAUUGCCUGAAGAGAGGAGGCACCUGGGCAGACCCGUGCUGGGUAGGAAGAUCACUUGGAAGAGAGAAACCGAUGCUUUCUGAAAGCUGAUGGCAAAGUGAAGACAAAGCCUCUUCAGGCAGUCCGAGCUGCAAGGUUAGGUAGGCCUGUGGAGGUGGGAGUGCUGCUCCCCAGAAUCUGAGGGCUCUCUUGACAGUCCUCUGCUCAGAAUGAAGCUGCAGAAAUAUUGAUCUGUCCCUGCAGUGGUCAUGUCCAUGCUUGGGAACUGAAGCAAAUGGGAUGCAGGUUUUUGCCUUGUAAGAGCAGAGUUCUGGGAAGUUUGAGGUCUCUGCUACUAGCAGGCACUGUCCUUCCCAAGGGAGGAAGGCUUUAGGACCCAUCAGUGAAGGACUGUGAGGAGAAAUAAUCUGAUUCUGCUGAUCCCACAGGUGACACUCCCCUGCAGUUGCUUGGACUUGCUGAGUUGUGUUUACAGGCAAGGGGGAAGGGACCCUGAAAAAAGUGGUGAUCACUGAUGCUGUUGCCUGAAAGCUGCAAGGUCUGAGCACAGUUACUGCUGGUAUCACUUGAUAAGCUGUUGGGACAUCAAGGAGUCACACACAUGCCUUGUUCUGGAUGGUGCAUGCCAGAAGAUGGGCAGAGUAGUGGCAUGACCAAGGAUAGUGCUGGGAGUUCAGCUUGGAAAGCAUUUUAGAAGUGGUUGGAAAAUAUGUUGACUGUUGCAGUGUUGAUCCUGAUAAUUUUGUCUGUGGGAGAAGGGGUGGGUUUGGGAUAUGUGUCUUAUGUUUGCACUGGUGAGGUGUUAACUGCACUGGUCUGCAGGGGCAAAGGCUGGAGUUCAUAAUGAAUAUGCAGUCUGAUGAUCAUUAUGUUAAAGAUGGAGUUUGAAUAAGGGUAAAACAAUUCCUCAAUAAAGUGCAGGGUGGAAUGUAAAGAACAUAAAUUCCAGAUGGUAUCAAGGGAUGGCAGUGGAGACCUCUAACACAGAUAUAAACACCCUGUCCCAUGCCAGAAUUUAAGCUCACAGUACUGUGACUCAGAAAUACUUCUGGAGACAGAGAUGCACUUUUAAAUGAGAUCCCUGCUGAAAGGACUUAAUUCCAAGGGGACUGCAGCUGGUGGAUGAGUUAUGCUUAAACAAGGAAUCCACUGAAGGCUCUAUGGGCAUGGGUAACCUGGGCUGGAGAAGGUAUUCUCUAAAAAGACAAUGCUCCAAACCUCUGCAUAGUAACAUUGUACCUUUGUUGUUCAAUAAAAAUGUGUAUUUGAUCUCA